rnacentral:lncRNA from 1 species
CAUCUAGAUAGAUACUGAAUCACGUCCGUUUAUCAAAAAAUCUCACGAUGCCUUUUGCCUUCGAUUCGCAGAGUAAACGAAGGCAACCACUAUUAAAUUACGUAUCUGUCCUGAGCAAAUCCGUCGUUGAAAUUAACGAUCAUAGAAAGAUAAGAAGGGUAAGAAAGUUCCGAGAGCAAGAAUUGGGCUCAGAUCCGUUUUUUCUCCAGCAAACACGAUAAGGAUCGAGAAAUUGCUCCAGUGCUCUUCAAAAAAAAAAAUAUUCUCCAAUACUCCUCCUUUUUUUAAUGAUUUGUUAAAUUUUUAUUUAAAUAGAAAAAUUUGGUAAAAGAUAACGAAACCAAGAGAAACUUAGAUAAUUACAAUUCUACCUGGUACCAUCCAAACCCGAACCCAAUACCAACCCAACAAAAUUGGAUACCCACUUCGAGAAAUUGAAAUAUCGAAUAUAUUUUCCCUUUUUUCUCUUUAUUAUUUUUUUUAUCACAACCCCUUUCUUUUCCUUAUUGGUUGAAAAUUGAGGUUAAAAAGUAAAGUAAUAAAUGAACUUGUAAAAAGAAUAAUAAGGGCAAGGUUUCACUGUCUCUAACUCAUUUCUCCAUGUCUCGACCGUUCGCCUUUUUCUUGAAAUUCUGAAAACCCUAC